rnacentral:rRNA from 1 species
CACGUAGGGGGCAAGCGUUGUCCGGAUUUAUUGGGCGUAAAGAGCUCGUAGGCGGUUCGGUAAGUUGGGUGUGAAACCUCCAGGCUCAACCUGGAGACGCCACCCGAUACUGCUGUGACUAGAGUCCGGUAGGGGAGCGUGGAAUUCCUGGUGUAGCGGUGAAAUGCGCAGAUAUCAGGAGGAACACCGAUGGCGAAGACAGGUCUCUGGGCCACUACUGACGCUGAGGAGCGAAAGCAUGGGGAGCGAACAGG